AACACAUGCCCCCCAGUUUUGGAAUAAAACAUAAUCUUUACUUCGAAAUUCCUUUCAACUUCUCUUCCGAAACAAACGCAUUGAAACUAUCCUUCCGUUUCGCGGUCCUCAGCCUGAUGAUUGCAAUCUUUUCGAAACGGGCGCCCACAACAACCACUCCCGAAAAAAUCGAAAUGCCGGCACGGUAAAAAUCCCGCUUUAACCCCUUCUCAGACCACCCUUAGAUACCAGCACGUCCCGUACUUCUUUUCACGAGCUCACGUCUUCCUUCUUUGGCAUACUGAUCUUCUUCUUCCUCCGGCGUCUUCCUUAGCCUCCAAUCUUUCUCUCCGGCAUCUUCUUUCAUCCACAUCCCA
rnacentral:lncRNA from 1 species